rnacentral:ncRNA from 2 species
AUUUACAGACUGCUCCGAGCUUAUUAUCCUAAAACGAAAAAACGUCACGGAAAUAAGCCGAUAGGGUAGUUUUGGAAACGAAACUGCCUCCCUUAUUUGGAAAGGAGUAGGAAAUGAUUCAGU